rnacentral:rRNA from 1 species
AUGGCGUUUCUAGGAGGAUCACUGCGCAUGACGAGGAGCAUCGGCAGCCGGAAGAUGAUGGAGGGGAAGAGCCACGGCGGGUCAGGAUUGUGGCGGCAGGCCCCAGCGCCCGUGAGGCAGCUCUUCUGGAGAGUGAGGCGCGCCAUGCUGCGGCCGAAGCGCCGCGCCCUGAGUUUCGGGUACGACCUCAAGAGCUACUCCCAGAACUUCGAUGACGGCCUCGUCCCUGCCCACCGCCUCUAG